rnacentral:rRNA from 1 species
CCUACGGGAGGCAGCAGUGGGGAAUAUUGGACAAUGGGCGAAAGCCUGAUCCAGCAAUGCCGCGUGAGUGAUGAAGGCCUUCGGGUCGUAAAGCUCUUUUACCAGGGAUGAUAAUGACAGUACCUGGAGAAUAAGCUCCGGCUAACUCCGUGCCAGCAGCCGCGGUAAUACGGAGGGAGCUAGCGUUGUUCGGAAUUACUGGGCGUAAAGAGUACGUAGGCGGUUAUUCAAGUCAGAGGUGAAAGCCCGGGGCUCAACCCCGGAACUGCCUUUGAAACUAGAUAACUAGAGUCUUGGAGAGGUUAGUGGAAUUCCGAGUGUAGAGGUGAAAUUCGUAGAUAUUCGGAAGAACACCAGUGGCGAAGGCGACUAACUGGACAAGUACUGACGCUGAGGUACGAAAGCGUGGGGAGCAAACAGGAUUAGAUACCCUGGUAGUCCACGCCGUAAACGAUGAUAACUAGUUGUUCGGUCACUUGGUGACUGAGUGACGCAGACACACAUAAGUUAUCCGUCCGUCGGGUAGGUACGGUCGCGAAGAAGUAAACGUAACGAAAGAAGUAGACGGCGNGUAAGUAGUGCGACGACGACGACGAGGGAGGAGG